UAAAAUCAAUCUUUCUACCUAUAUCUUCAAUCAUCUAUGUGAAGCUAUCAAGGAGAGCAUGAAGCAUCACAAGAAGAAUGUGCCAUAUGUUAGACUCUUGUCUAAACUGCUUUAUCAUGUUCGUCUUAUUUGAUGCCCUUAAAACUAUUUCUGGUGAUGAGGAUCUCGAGGAGAUCCACGGAAACAUUAUGUCUGCUUCCGUUCUAACCAACAUGAAGCUUCUGAAGAAGAGUGAAGUUGUUACUUCUAAAGUGCC
rnacentral:lncRNA from 1 species